rnacentral:rRNA from 1 species
UACGAAGGGGGCUAGCGUUGCUCGGAAUCACUGGGCGUAAAGCGCACGUAGGCGGAUUGCUAAGUCAGGGGUGAAAUCCUGGAGCUCAACUCCAGAACUGCCUUUGAUACUGGCGAUCUCGAGUCCGGGAGAGGUGAGUGGAACUGCGAGUGUAGAGGUGAAAUUCGUAGAUAUUCGCAAGAACACCAGUGGCGAAGGCGGCUCACUGGCCCGGUACUGACGCUGAGGAGCGAAAGCAUGGGUAGCGAACAGG